AUUUGUUAAGGAUGUUCUGGGCUAAUACUUCAAUAAAUACUAACUGAAUCAGUCAAUGCCUAUACAAUGUACAACUAUGGCACUGAAUAUUAAUAUUCGAGUUAUGGCAGUGAUUGACUUAUGACCUUGACUAAAGUCCAAACUGUUUGAACAAGUAUAGGCUGUAGCUUUAUGGAGCUGGAAGUAUUCAGGGCUCCCUGGAUACAUGUGCUCCCUGCAGUGUCCCACCUGCUCAGUAAAGCAACAGCAUAAAGCAAUGGUGAGCUGCAUCCACAAGCAGCCUCAGCUGCAAGAGAAACUCACCCCAGGUGGGUGCAUGUCCCUCAUCCUGCUCUAGCAGCCCCAAAGGAUGUGCCCUGACACCCAUGGCCAAACACUGGUGCUAACCUUAAAUCAGGAGCUACCAGCCACCACUGUGUGAGCUGUGCCUUAUGAUCCACCUGCAGGAGUUGAAAGGAUCUGUGCAGACACCUGUGUGUGAAGAGAGUGGUGUAUCCUGGGAAGUGCAGUAUGUCUUCUGGGCUUUGGGCUUUGCAAGUGGUACUGCCUUUUCCAGAAGCUGCAAACCAGUAUUUUCCUGACCUGGGUCUCUCUGUUGCUGGCUUCUGCACUUCAGUCAUGUGCAACUAAAACUUCUUGUCAGUCCCACUUUUGGAUGCUGAGGUUGAAGCUCAGAGCAUGAGUAUGUCUUUGGCUUGCCAAGCAGAGUAGCUGGAAAAUAGACCAGAAAGGCUAAGAGUCACUUCAGCUUUAUUGUCAGUAGGCUUAUGCCAACAUGAUGACUGUCUAGCAGCUUUUCAUGCUUGUCCACAUGCAUCUAGUUAUUAGCUGUAUGUCUCGUGAAAUGAUUUAAGUGACAUGAGUUCCAGAGCAAGAGAUUGCUGUGCACCUUUCAAGUUUUGUUGGUCACAAAGUGUGUUCCAGUGAAAAGGAAGCAGACUUGCUCAGGCACUUCUUGCACAGCCAAUAGAAGACAGCCCUAAGAUGUUUCAGCACUGGUGUGCGCCCUGCUGCUUCAUCUACUUCACCAGCUCUUGUUAUAGACACCAGUCCUGUGUUUACCAUGCACUUGCUGAAAUAUGGAGCUGCACAGAAUCAUAAGGAUCAAAGUGUCUGAGGUGUGUUCCUGAGAACCUGACUGUGAUGGAGACCUUGGAGUUGUACCUGGAAAGACCUAUGUUUCUCAGCGUGGAGAGUAGCAGAUAGAAGUCCAGUGUUCUUAGAAAACAUUUUAGUAUUGGCUUCAAAACCUGUCUGCUUAUUGCAAUCUACAAAGUCAAGACAAUUUACUUAAAAGGAUGGGAGAAUCUUCUGCCGGAGAACAGCCUGUGACUGAGAGAACCCCAGUGCUGAUCUCUUCUGCUGCCCAGAGUGUGACACUCACGUCACCAGCCAGUGCCUCGACCAAAUGGGGCACAAGCUCUACUGCAGUGGGGACAACUGUACCUACAGCUGUCAGCAGUGCCAUUGCCUGGCUUGGGUAAAGUGUUUUGGAGGGGAGCGAGAAUGAUGAUUGUUGUUUUUAG